rnacentral:lncRNA from 1 species
UCUAAAUCUUUUUUUUCAAAUAUUUCUAUAUAGCUUUAUUUCAUUUCCGUUUAAGUUUUGGUGAGGAACAUCUUCACACACAAGCUCUGGUCAUUGGGGUAGGGUUUUUUGGAGCAACUGUGAAAAUGUCUGUAGUAGUUUAAAAUGCAUAUUGUGGCGGGUGGGCUGAGGCUCUGAAUGAAGACGUGACUGUGUUUCUUUCAGGUAAUGUUCACAUGUACAGUAACGGACGGAUGCGCUUUAAUCAGAAUCACGGCGAGAGAGGAGAGCAGCGAGGGGGAGGUCUCGCUCUUCUCAUGCAGUUGAUGCCCAUACCUCAUCCUCGUCAUCGUAUCAGCGCUCAGUCAGAUAAUGGUGACCAACCCUCCCUACAGCCUCAGCUUCAGACCCUGAAGGCAGAUGCAUUCUGUCAGUCAUGUGAGAUCUCUUCUGAUUGGUCGAGAGAGACAGAGGGCAGCAAACUCAGGGUGAACUCUCCACCUUUGACCCUGAAUGGUCUUCACGCAGAGGAAGUCUGAUGGACAGUCGCUCAGCUGUUCUUCACACUCGGUGUGCAUGAAUGAAGCCUGUGACCUCUGACCCUGACCGCUGCCUUUAUACCACAUUCUAACGUACUGCUGCUCUCUAAGC